CGAGGCAGUACAACCGGCAAUGACCCACCCAGAUUUUUCGAACAGCAGACUCAUUAUAGCCCCUCAAAAACCAACGGCCACGUAGGAAGUACAAAAAGAAAAAAGUGGAAUGAGCCGGGGAGAAAAUAAACGAGAGAGUGUUGGUGAGCAAUGAUUAGAGAGGUGCACAGCCUCAGGACUCCACAUUGAGCAGACUCCAGCCACCCCGGAGCUUAGACUCGGUCCUGAGAGCAGUGGGAAGCUUCUGAUGAGUUCUGUCCUGAUCUCAGGCUUGUGGAACCAGCUGGCUCCACAUUCAGCAUGGAGUCGGCGUGAGAGUCUCUCUUCCUCCCCUUCUGCCCCUCCCCC
rnacentral:lncRNA from 1 species